AUGGCAAGUCGAAGGCGGCAGCGCGGGGGCAACCCUGGCGGCGAGCGGCGAACGGGUGAGGAAACCAUCGGAACGUGCCCGAGAGUGGGGGAUAACGCCGCGAAAGCGGCGCUAAUACCGCAUAUUCUCUGAGGAGGAAAGUGGGGGACCGCAAGGCCUCACGCUCCCGGAGCGGCCGAUGUCGGAUUAGCUAGUUGGUGGGGUAAAGGCUUACCAAGGCGACGAUCCGUAGCUGGUCUGAGAGGAUGAUCAGCCACACUGGGACUGAGACACGGCCCAGACUCCUACGGGAGGCAGCAGUGGGGAAUUUUGGACAAUGGGGGCAACCCUGAUCCAGCCAUGCCGCGUGCGGGAAGAAGGCCUUCGGGUUGUAAACCGCUUUUAGUCGGGAAGAAAAGGCACGGGUUAAUACUCCGUGUUCUUGACGGUACCGGCGGAAUAAGCACCGGCUAACUACGUGCCAGCAGCCGCGGUAAUACGUAGGGUGCGAGCGUUAAUCGGAAUUACUGGGCGUAAAGCGUGCGCAGGCGGUUCGUUAAGUUCGUCGUGAAAGCCCCGGGCUCAACCUGGGAACUGCGAUGGAAACUGGCGGGCUUGAGUGUGGCAGAGGGGGGUGGAAUUCCGCGUGUAGCAGUGAAAUGCGUAGAGAUGCGGAGGAACACCGAUGGCGAAGGCAGCCCCCCUGGGCCAACACUGACGCUCAGGCACGARAGCGUGGGGAGCAAACAGGAUUAKAUACCCCUGCUAGUCCACGCCCUAAMCGAUGCUCACUAGGUGUUGGGGAAGCGAUUCCCUUGGUACCCGUAGCCUAACGCGUGAAAGUGAGCCGCCCUGGGGGAGUAACGGCCCGCAAG
rnacentral:rRNA from 1 species